CCGAACCGACUAAUGUUGAAAAAUUAGCGGAUGACCUGUGGCUGGGGGUGAAAGGCCAAUCAAACCGGGAGAUAGCUGGUUCUCCCCGAAAGCUAUUUAGGUAGCGCCUCGUGAAUUCAUCUCCGGGGGUAGAGCACUGUUUCGGCUAGGGGGCCAUCCCGGCUUACCAACCCGAUGCAAACUGCGAAUACCGGAGAAUGUUAUCACGGGAGACACACGGCGGGUGCUAACGUCCGUCGUGAAGAGGGAAACAACCCAGACCGCCAGCUAAGGUCCCAAAGUCAUGGUUAAGUGGGAAACGAUGUGGGAAGGCCCAGACAGCCAGGAUGUUGGCUUAGAAGCAGCCAUCAUUUAAAGAAAGCGUAAUAGCUCACUGGUCGAGUCGGCCUGCGCGGAAGAUGUAACGGGGCUAAACCAUGCACCGAAGCUGCGGCAGCGACACUGUGUGUUGUUGGGUAGGGGAGCGUUCUGUAAGCCUGUGAAGGUGUGUCGUGAGGCAUGCUGGAGGUAUCAGAAGUGCGAAUGCUGACAUAAGUAACGAUAAAGCGGGUGAAAAGCCCGCUCGCCGGAAGACCAAGGGUUCCUGUCCAACGUUAAUCGGGGCAGGGUGAGUCGACCCCUAAGGCGAGGCCGAAAGGCGUAGUCGAUGGGAAACGGGUUAAUAUUCCCGUACUUGGUGUUACUGCGAAGGGGGGACGGAGAAGGCUAUGUUGGCCGGGCGACGGUUGUCCCGGUUUAAGCGUGUAGGUGUGUGUUCCAGGUAAAUCCGGUUCACUUUAACACUGAGGCGUGACGACGAGGCACUACGGUGCUGAAGCAACAAAUGCCCUGCUUCCAGGAAAAGCCUCUAAGCAUCAGGUAACAUCAAAUCGUACCCCAAACCGACACAGGUGGUCAGGUAGAGAAUACCAAGGCGCUUGAGAGAACUCGGGUGAAGGAACUAGGCAAAAUGGUGCCGUAACUUCGGGAGAAGGCACGCUGACACGUAGGUGAAGUGAUUUACUCAUGGAGCUGAAGUCAGUCGAAGAUACCAGCUGGCUGCAACUGUUUAUUAAAAACACAGCACUGUGCAAACACGAAAGUGGACGUAUACGGUGUGACGCCUGCCCGGUGCCGGAAGGUUAAUUGAUGGGGUCAGCGCAAGCGAAGCUCCUGAUCGAAGCCCCGGUAAACGGCGGCCGUAACUAUAACGGUCCUAAGGUAGCGAAAUUCCUUGUCGGGUAAGUUCCGACCUGCACGAAUGGCGUAAUGAUGGCCAGGCUGUCUCCACCCGAGACUCAGUGAAAUUGAACUCGCUGUGAAGAUGCAGUGUACCCGCGGCAAGACGGAAAGACCCCGUGAACCUUUACUAUAGCUUGACACUGAACAUUGAGCCUUGAUGUGUAGGAUAGGUGGGAGGCUUUGAAGUGUGGACGCCAGUCUGCAUGGAGCCGACCUUGAAAUACCACCCUUUAAUGUUUGAUGUUCUAACGUGGACCCGUUACCCGGGUUGCGGACAGUGUCUGGUGGGUAGUUUGACUGGGGCGGUCUCCUCCUAAAGAGUAACGGAGGAGCACGAAGGUUGGCUAAUCCUGGUCGGACAUCAGGAGGUUAGUGCAAUGGCAUAAGCCAGCUUGACUGCGAGCGUGACGGCGCGAGCAGGUGCGAAAGCAGGUCAUAGUGAUCCGGUGGUUCUGAAUGGAAGGGCCAUCGCUCAACGGAUAAAAGGUACUCCGGGGAUAACAGGCUGAUACCGCCCAAGAGUUCAUAUCGACGGCGGUGUUUGGCACCUCGAUGUCGGCUCAUCACAUCCUGGGGCUGAAGUAGGUCCCAAGGGUAUGGCUGUUCGCCAUUUAAAGUGGUACGCGAGCUGGGUUUAGAACGUCGUGAGACAGUUCGGUCCCUAUCUGCCGUGGGCGCUGGAGAACUGAGGGGGGCUGCUCCUAGUACGAGAGGACCGGAGUGGACGCAUCACUGGUGUUCGGGUUGUCAUGCCAAUGGCACUGCCCGGUAGCUAAAUGCGGAAGAGAUAAGUGCUGAAAGCAUCUAAGCACGAAACUUGCCCCGAGAUGAGUUCUCCCUGAGACUUAAAGUCUCCUGAAGGAACGUUGAAGACGACGACGUUGAUAGGCCGGGUGUGUAAGCGCAGCGAUGCGUUGAGCUAACCGGUACUAAUGAACCGUGAGGCUUAACCUU
rnacentral:rRNA from 2 species